rnacentral:rRNA from 1 species
CAGGCCUAACACAUGCAAGUCGAGGGAGAAGCUGACUUCGGUCAGUGGGCACCGGCGCACGGGUGAGUAACGCGUGGGAACCUACCCAGGGGUGGGGGAUAACCGCUGGAAACGGCGGCUAAUACCGCAUACGCCUUUUUGAGGGAAAGAUUUAUCGCCCUUGGAUGGGCCCGCGUUGGAUUAGGUAGUUGGUGGGGUAAAGGCCUACCAAGCCUACGAUCUAUAGCUGGUCUGAGAGGAUGAUCAGCCACACUGGGACUGAGACACGGCCCAGACUCCUACGGGAGGCAGCAGUGGGGAAUCUUGGACAAUGGGGGCAACCCUGAUCCAGCCAUGCCGCGUGAGUGAAGAAGGCCUUAGGGUUGUAAAGCUCUUUCAACGGUGAAGAUGAUGACUGUAGCCGUAGAAGAAGCCCCGGCUAACUCCGUGCCAGCAGCCGCGGUAAUACGGAGGGGGCAAGCGUUGUUCGGAAUUACUGGGCGUAAAGGGCGUGUAGGCGGCCAAGCAAGUCAGAGGUGAAAGCCCUGGGCUCAACCUGGGAACUGCCUUUGAAACUGUUUGGCUUGAGACCGGAAGAGGAUGGCGGAAUUCCCAGUGUAGAGGUGAAAUUCGUAGAUAUUGGGAAGAACACCGGUGGCGAA